rnacentral:rRNA from 1 species
AAAUGAAUAGACGGGCACCCGCACAAGCGGUGGAGCAUGCUGUUUAAUUCGAAUCAACGCGAAAAACCUUACCUAGACUUGACAUCCCUGGCAAAGCUAUAGAAAUAUAGUGGAGGUUAUCCGGGUGACAGGUGGUGCAUGGUUGUCGUCAGCUCGUGUCGUGAGAUGUUCGGUUAAGUCCGUUAACGAGCGCAACCCUUAUCUUUAGUUACUAACAUUCAGUUGAGAACUCUAAAGAGACUGCCGGUAACAAACCGGAGGAAGGUGGGGAUGACGUCAAAUCAUCAUGCCCCUUAUGUCUAGGGCAACAGGCGUGCUACAAUGGCCGGUACAAAGAGUCGCAAUACCGCGAGGUGGAGCCAAUCUCUAAAGCCGGUCUCAGUUCGGAUUGAAGUCUGCAACUCGACUUCAUGAAGUUGAAAUCGCUAGUAAUCCCAGAUCAGCAUGCUGGGGUGAAUACGUUCUCGGGUGUUGUACACACCGCCCGU